AUUGAACGCUGGCGGCAGGCCUAACACAUGCAAGUCGAACGGUAACACAAAGCGGGUUGCUUCUUUGCUGACGCGUGUCGGAGAGGGGUGUAAUGUAUGGCGAAAUGCAUUUUUGCGGGGGAUAAAUACUGGAGAAACUAACUCUAACACCGUAUCGUCGCAACAGCAAAAAGGGGGGCAUUUUCGCCUCUUGCCCUCUGAUAUGAGCCGAUGUCGGAUUAGCUAGGUGGCGGGGAAAAGGCACACCAAGGCGACGAUCCGUAGCUGGUCUGAGAGGAUGAUCAGCCACACUGGAACUGAGACACGGUCCAGACUCCUACGGGAGGCAGCAGUGGGGAAUAUUGGACAAUGGGCGCAAGCCUGAUCCAGCCAUGCCGCGUGGGUGAAGAAGGCCUUCGGGUUGUAAAGCACUUUUGUUGGGGAAGAAAAGAAGCAAGUUAAUACCCCGCUGUAUUGACGGUACCCACAGAAGAAGCACCGGCUAACUCCGUG
rnacentral:rRNA from 1 species